GCAUGAAAGAAUGAUUAUUAUUAUUUUUUUUUUUUGUGUCAUCAACCAUUGGAUCGUGUUUUGCAUGACGUUUAAAGCACGACAUGCCUCUUUCUUGCAUCUACAAUAUAAAUCAUAAAGCUAACAUUAUACUAUGAAAGCUAUACAAAAUACAAUUCAAUGGUUGAUAUCGUAAAAAAAUAAUUAAUUAUCUUUUGCAUGAUCCGAAGCUGAGAG
rnacentral:lncRNA from 1 species